AUGAACGCUGGCGGCGUGCUUAACACAUGCCAGUCGAACGAAGCACUUUAUUUGAUUUCCUUCGGGACUGAUUAUUUUGUGACUGAGUGGCGGACGGGUGAGUAACGCGUGGGUAACCUGCCUUGUACAGGGGGAUAACAGUUGGAAACGGCUGCUAAUACCGCAUAAGCGCACAGCAUCGCAUGAUGCAGUGUGAAAAACUCCGGUGGUAUAAGAUGGACCCGCGUUGGAUUAGCUAGUUGGUGAGGUAACGGCCCACCAAGGCGACGAUCCAUAGCCGACCUGAGAGGGUGACCGGCCACAUUGGGACUGAGACACGGCCCAAACUCCUACGGGAGGCAGCAGUGGGGAAUAUUGCACAAUGGGCGAAAGCCUGAUGCAGCGACGCCGCGUGAGCGAAGAAGUAUUUCGGUAUGUAAAGCUCUAUCAGCAGGGAAGAUAAUGACGGUACCUGACUAAGAAGCACCGGCUAAAUACGU
rnacentral:rRNA from 1 species